UUCACUGGCCUAAUUUCAAUAUUGUUGCGUCUCAGGGAAUAGAGAGGACCCAGGAGAGGGAGAGAGGUGGGGGAACAGCCUGUGGGUUGAGCC